UGACAUCCAUUAAGGCCAAUGGUAGCUCAAUCUUCUGUUCUCUGACUCCCAAGCUUCCCAUUCUCUUAGGAGGCUGCAUUUGUGGCGCUAAAAAAAGGGAUGGGCGUGGGAGAUUCCAGGACUUGUGCUCGCUGAAGAUACAACUGUUAGUCCAAGCUCCUGUAUCAGCAGUGCUUGCACCUCAUAGGUGAUGAUCAUGAGGGGGACAAGGAGCCUCUAGACUUAAGAGACAAGUUGCCAGCAUUCUCCAGAUGGAGUGUUUCCCUCCGCAGCACCCCCUGCUGGUCAGUUUGACAAGCAGGUGAACAGAAGUUCUCAAAUACACAAUAGUAGAUUCUAUCAAUCAAGUUUCAUAAAGAGUUCUGAUUCCCAGAGGACUUAUGGAGCAAGGAUGACUGACACAAACACAAAAAUCAUUCUGCCUGUUGAAUGAAUCAUAAAAUACUGUCUUUGAUCCAGGAGGCUUGUGUCAUCUGCCAGCAUUUAUGAAACUGUGCUCCAAGUAGGCCUUUGUGUUUUUAUUUCAGAUGUGCUUUCUUAUGUACUGACUGUGAUCCCCAAAUUCAUAUGUUGAAGUCCCAACUCCAAAUGUAUUUGGAGGUGGGCCUUUCAGACGUAAUUGAGUUUAGAUGACGUCAUGAGGGUGGAGCCCCCAUGAUGACACUAAGUCCUUCUAAGAAAAGGAAGAGAGUCUGAGCCCUCCUCUACACCAUGUGAGGGCACAGAGAGAGAGCAGCCAUCAACAAGCUGAGAGAGGAGGACUGAGAAUGAAACCUACCUCGCCAGAACCUUGUCAUAUCCCUUCCCGGUUUCCAAACGAGUGAGAAAUCAAUUUCUGUUGUGUAAGCUACUCAGUGUAUGAAACUUUGUUAUGGCAGCCAGAGCAGAUUAAUGCAUGCUUCUUGGACUUUGUUUUUAACUCAAUAUGAAAAACAUAUGUUUUAAUAAAAAAAUUACCCCAUUCAUCUGUAUUGUGUUUACUGAUAAUUUUGGACUUAUUUUUGCCAUAUUUAAGAAAUCCUCCUUCCUCUUUCCCAUGCUUUCUUGUGUUUUUUUA
rnacentral:lncRNA from 10 species